ensembl:lncRNA
GGCAGCAAUUACAAAAUUCAAUUUGCUGACAUUCGUAAACUACAUUAAGUUAACACAAACUAGCAGUGAUAAAUACAUCUAAAACAAUAAUCAGUAUAGUUGUUUGUUUGUUUGUUUGUGUUUAACGCCACGCCAGCUUCUGUGGUCAUUUUCAUGGCAAGAAAAUUUAUGGCUGAAUUGUAUUAAUCCUAGUUAAUUUAAAUUUCAACAUUUACUUCAUUAUUAAAAUCAUGAGUUGUAUAUGAAGACUAAUGCUAACAAAGAUCAAUGAACACUGUAACAAAUGUAUUGCUCUUUCUUAAUUAAUGGGACCUUAUUGUAAUGUGUUAUCAAACUUACUUAUAUAUUCUUUGUUUCACCAAUGAUUAAUUUUUUUUAUUUUUAUACAGUGUCUAAACAAUCUUUCAGUGGCCUGUGUAAGAAGUGCUACGGUUAAUAAAAUCAUCAUCAAUCAUUGGCAGAUAAACAAAAAUAGACACAACACAAUAUGAAUUUCUGUUGCAGAUUUUACUAUUUUUAUUUAGAAUUUUAUUUUUUUUGUACUUUUUUUCUGGGGCUUUUUGUUUUAUCAGUUGGGCCCCAGACCAACCAACCAAGCAAUGCAGAAACCAAAGGUUUCACCAAAAUUUAACUUCUUCACUUUACAUUCGUAGCAUUAUUCAGGAGUCAACAUUUGUAGCAUUAUUCAGGAGUCAGCAAUGUGUUAAAGAGAUUUCUUGGUUUACUAGUUAGCAUCACAUGCAUUGGUUUUUUAUGGUCGGUUCUUGGCUUUUUGUCGGCAUUUUUCAUAGACUUGAGGCUUCGCAGACUGCGCUGGCCUCUGCGCAUCUGGACAACAGCACCAACAAAUGGGUUUCCCCUCUGAAUGGCACUGGGCCAGAUGACCUCACCCCUGGCAGCAAGGAUUUACAUAAACUCCGCCUCCUUCAUGAUGCUAGAACAAAAAACAAAACCAUUGAGCUACAGGAAAUGCAGAUUGUGUCAAAUAUCAAUUAUAUAACAACCGUAUAACCACAUAACGUAUUAAAAAACAAUAUUACUGAAUAAUGCAUUUGAAUGACAUCACUGGAUAUCACACUAUGCGGUUUAUUUUUAGUUACCUAUCUUUUACAGUAGCUCAAAAAAAGUCUGAAAAACAUAUAAUGUACUCACACAUUAGUGCUACAAGACCAGUCAAGUUUCCACAGCAUCUCCCACAGAGGAAACGCCAUAAAAUCUGUAAAGAUGAUUCAAUUUCCAUGGUUACACAGUAACAAACCACCAAAAAAAAAAUGUGCAUUACUAAGUCAUUUAAUUGCGAUGACAGAAAACAUGUUAUUCUAAAUAAUAAUCAUGAUAAUAAUAAUUAUGAGAAAUGUUCUCUAUAACUAGUCGUCUUACCUUGUUGAUCUGGCAGCAGAAGGCUCUGGAAAGGACAGAUCAGUGGGUCUGUGUGUAAUUUAUACUGGUACACUGUUCCCGCC